rnacentral:lncRNA from 1 species
CUUCAGGGUCCAUAACCUGAACUGAAGUCCCAGGCAUAAUGCAUUCAAACUUAAAAAAAUAUUAAAGACAACUAAAAAAAUUUUGCUCAUUUUUGGAGCAAAAAAACUACCAAAGAAGGAGCAGCUUGAGGGAAUAUUAAUGGAUUAUGAGAAGAAAAUGAAACUGAACUAUUUUGCGUUAUCCUACAAGAUGAAUGAUUAUAGAGUACAAUAGACUGACUAACCAGGAGUUGAAAGCCAGAUCAUAAGAUAUUUGAAGAGACACAGUAACCUCUCAAAAUGAGGCCAAUUUUCUUAGAUCAGGGAUCUCCCUUGCAUCCAAAAACCUGGCAUACAGUUUGGGUAUCCCUUCUCCAAGAUAUGUGGGGCCAGAAAAUUUUCAGAUUUUGGAAUAUUUGCAUAUAUAUAAUGAGAUAUCAUGGGAUCAGACCCAAGUCUAAACACAAGAAUUCAUUUAUAUUUCAUAUACACCUUGUCCACGUAGCUUGAAGGUA